rnacentral:rRNA from 1 species
AUUGAACGCUGGCGGCAGGCCUAACACAUGCAAGCAGAACGAGUGGCGGACGGGUGAGUAAUGUCUGGGAAACUGCCUGAUGGAGGGGGAUAACUACUGGAAACGGUAGCUAAUACCGCAUACCAUCGGUUGUCCCCAGAUGGGAUUGGCUUGUAGGAGGGGUAAAGGCUAACCUAGGCGACGAUCCCUAGCUGGUCUGAGAGGAUGACCAGCCAAACUGGAACUGAGACCCGGUCCAAACUCCUACGGGAGGCAGCAGUGGGGAAUAUGGCACAAUGGGCGCAAGCCUGAUGCAGCCAUGCCGCGUGUAUGAAGAAGGCCUUCGGGUUGUAAAGUACGUUCAGCGGGGAGGCGUUACCCGCAGAAGAAGCACCGGCUAACUCCGUGCCAGCAGCCGCGGUAAUAC